rnacentral:rRNA from 1 species
GAUGAACGCUAGCGGCAGGCCUAAUACAUGCAAGUCGGACGGGAUUCAGGAGCUUGCUUCUGAUGGGAGUGGCGCACGGGUGCGUAACACGUAUGUAACCUACCUUUAUCAGGGGGAUAGCCUCUCGAAAGAGAGAUUAAGCCCGCAUAAAAUCACAGCACAGCAUUGUGUAAUGAUCAAAUAUUUAUAGGAUAAAGAUGGGCAUGCGGAACAUUAGCUAGAUGGCGGGGUAACGGCCCACCAUGGCGACGAUGUUUAGGGGAUCUGAGAGGAUGGCCCCCCACACUGGUACUGAGACACGGACCAGACUCCUACGGGAGGCAGCAGUAAGGAAUAUUGGUCAAUGGGCGGAAGCCUGAACCAGCCAUGCCGCGUGCAGGAAGACGGCCCUACGGGUUGUAAACUGCUUUUAUACGGGAAUAAACCCAGAUACGUGUAUCUGGCUGAAUGUACUGUAAGAAUAAGGAUCGGCUAACUCCGUG